rnacentral:rRNA from 2 species
UUAGAUCGUACCCACACUUACUUGGAUAACUGUGGUAAUUCUAGAGCUAAUACAUGCAAACAGAGCUCCGACCGGAGACGGAAGGAGCGCUUUUAUUAGAUCAAAACCGAUCGGUGGUGGGUUCGCCCAUCAUCGUACAAUUUGGUGAAUCUGAAUAACUUUAAGCUGAUCGCACGGUCUUGCACCGGCGACGCAUCUUUCAAAUGUCUGCCUUAUCAACUGUCGAUGGUAGGUUCUGCGCCUACCAUGGUUGUAACGGGUAACGGGGAAUCAGGGUUCGAUUCCGGAGAGGGAGCCUGAGAAACGGCUACCACAUCCAAGGAAGGCAGCAGGCGCGCAAAUUACCCACUCCCGGCACGGGGAGGUAGUGACGAAAAAUAACGAUACGGGACUCAUCCGAGGCCCCGUAAUCGGAAUGAGUACACUCUAAACCCUUUAACGAGGAUCAAUUGGAGGGCAAGUCUGGUGCCAGCAGCCGCGGUAAUUCCAGCUCCAAUAGCGUAUAUUAAAGUUGUUGCGGUUAAAAAGCUCGUAGUCGAAUCUGUGUCUCGCGCCGCCGGUUCAUCGUUCGCGGUGUUAACUGGCGUGCCGCGGGACGUCCUGCCGGUGGGCUUAGCUCGAGAGGGCGGCCCAAAUCAAUCCUGCCGCGGUGCUCUUCAUUGAGUGUCGAGGUGGGCCGGCACGUUUACUUUGAACAAAUUAGAGUGCUUAAAGCAGGCUAAAUUUCGCCUGAAUACUGUGUGCAUGGAAUAAUGGAAUAGGACCUCGGUUCUAUUUUGUUGGUUUUCGGAACCCCGAGGUAAUGAUUAAUAGGAACGGAUGGGGGCAUUC